rnacentral:tRNA from 1 species
GCGCGCGUAGUUCAUUGGUAGAACGCUUCGUUGACAUCGAAGAGGUGCAUGGUUCGAUUCCAUGCGCGCGCA